rnacentral:lncRNA from 10 species
UGAUUCUAUCAUUCACUCCUAUUUGCUGAGCAUCUAUUAUGGGCUUAGUAUUUUGCAGCUAUAAUGAGAAGAGGAAUUAUUUUUUAAAAAAAUGACUAUAGCACUCUCACAUUGUAGAGGGACAGGAUUCAUAUUUAGAUAUCUAGGUGAAUUUUUCAUUUCUGCAAAGAUGGACUCCAGAACCUAGUGUGAAAUGGGAAUAUUGAGUAUGCUAUGUAAUCAAGGGAAUGAAGGAGAAUGGAGCUAGAUCUGUAACAGGAGCUACAGAAAACAAGAUGGCAAACAAGGUCCCAGCAGAACCCAGAGUCGAAAACAAGAGAACCAGGCGAAUGUGAGCACCCACCAGACCCACCCACAGAGAAUCCUAGCGACUGAAGUCAUUUUAUGUUUGCCUUCAACUUGAGAUAAGUCCCAGAAAAUUGGAGGAUGUGGAGACCAGGAUGCCUCAUUGCACAACUCCAGGAGGCACAUUACAGUAGGUGUGCAAGAGGGCAUGACACUCAAGUUACAAACACAUCAUUUCAUUUAAUCUUCACAACACUCCUGGAAAAAAGGCAUUAUUAUCCUUGUCUUACAGAUAAAGAAACUGAGACUCCAAGAAUAU